AGGAUGAACGCUAGCGGCAGGCUUAACACAUGCAAGUCGAGGGGCAGCGCAGGUAGCAAUACUGGGCGGCGACCGGCAAACGGGUGCGGAACACGUACAGAAUCUACCUUGAUCUGGGGCAUAGCCCGGAGAAAUCCGGAUUAACUCCCCAUAACAUAUAAGAGUGGCAUCACUUUAAUAUUAAAAAUUUAUUGGAUCGAGAUGACUGUGCGUCCCAUUAGCUAGUUGGUAGGGUAACGGCCUACCAAGGCGACGAUGGGUAGCUGGUGUGAGAGCACGACCAGCCACACGGGCACUGAGACACGGGCCCGACUCCUACGGGAGGCAGCAGUGAGGAAUAUUGGUCAAUGGACGCAAGUCUGAACCAGCCAUGCCGCGUGAAGGAUGAAGGCCUUCUGGGUUGUAAACUUCUUUUACCUGGGAAGAAACCCCUUAUAUCUAUGAGGGUUGACGGUACCAGAGGAAUAAGCACCGGCUAACUCCGUGCCAGCAGCCGCGGUAAUACGGAGGGUGCAAGCGUUAUCCGGAUUUACUGGGUUUAAAGGGUGUGUAGGCGGGUCUUUAAGUCAGUGGUGAAAUCUCCGAGCUCAACUUGGAAACUGCCAUUGAUACUAUUGAUCUUGAAUUUUGUUGAGGUAGGCGGAAUAAGUCAUGUAGCGGUGAAAUGCAUAGAUAUGACUUAGAACACCAAUUGCGAAGGCAGCUUGCUAAACAAAUAUUGACGCUGAGGCACGAAAGCGUGGGGAUCAAACAGGAUUAGAUACCCUGGUAGUCACGCCCUAAACGAUGAUUACUCGACAUACGCGAUACACAGUGUGUGUCUGAGCGAAAGCAUUAAGUAAUCAACCUGGGAAGUACGACCGCAAGGUUGAA
rnacentral:rRNA from 1 species